GAUUAUGGCUCAGGAUGAACGCUAGCGACAGGCUUAACACAUGCAAGUCGAGGGGCAGCAUAAAAGUAGCAAUACUUGGUGGCGACCGGCGCACGGGUGAGUAACGCGUAUGCAACCUACCUAUCAGAGGGGAAUAACCCGGCGAAAGUCGGACUAAUACCGCAUAAGACAGGGACACCGCAUGGUGAUAUUUGUUAAAGAAAUUCGCUGAUAGAUGGGCAUGCGUUCCAUUAGGUAGUUGGUGAGGUAACGGCUCACCAAGCCGACGAUGGAUAGGGGAACUGAGAGGUUGGUCCCCCACACUGGUACUGAGACACGGACCAGACUCCUACGGGAGGCAGCAGUGAGGAAUAUUGGUCAAUGGGCGAGAGCCUGAACCAGCCAAGUCGCGUAGGAAGGAAGAAGGAUCUAUGGUUCGUAAACUUCUUUGCAGGGGAAUAAAGUGCAGGACGCGUCCUGUUUUGUAUGUACCCUGAGAAUAAGGAUCGGCUAACUCCGUGCCAGCCGCCGC
rnacentral:rRNA from 1 species